rnacentral:lncRNA from 1 species
AGGAGCUUAUAGUUUCUAUGCAUGAUAAAGUUUUGAAUGACUGUUUUUUAUGUGCAGAUUCUCAACUUAUGGUUGGCUCUGCAAAUCCGCAUUUAACACUGGUCUUAUGGUUAUGGUCAUGGACAGUGAUGAUAGAGUGGGCAUUCAACUGUCAGAUAACUAACCUUUGUCAUUGAUUCAUGGGCUCCCAGUCAUGAUCAAUUGUUACAUUCUUUUGUGUGUGCCGAUGAACAUGAAGUGUCUUUGGACUCUUUAAAUGAAAGAUCAAAUAUGCUUAAUACUUGUAGGGUACUAAAUGAUUUUGUUAGUCAUCUCUCCCUCCCCCUCUAUCUUUCUCUAUGUCGGUACAAAUAUAUGUUUACUAAAGCCAAUUGAUCCAUUUUAGGAUUGUAUACUUAAUUGAAAAUAUCAAAACUUUAUUUAUACAAAAUAUGCACAUUCAAGACUACUAAUAUCACUGUUAAACUUUUGGAAAAUGAUGGCAUGUUGUUCAGGUCCCUUUAUACACUUAAAUUUUGUUUGCUAAUUUUUUUGUCUUUUUUAAAGUGUACUUUAUUUCUUGAUGAUCUCUAGAUGCAUCGUGACUAUAGCUUUUAUUAGUUACAUUAUAUGUAAAUUUACCUUAUCAAAUCAAUCUACUGCACAUGUCUCUCAUCAAUCCUUAACGCUAGACACACUAAUAU